CGGAAACAGACCGUAGCUAAUGAUUUAACCUAACGGUCUUCUAUUUUUCCAAACUUUGGGGAAUGUUUAUAAAGUGUGUCAACAUUUUCUUGCUUUAAUUUAAAAAUGCCGUACAUAAUUUCAUAUUCAUAUGUGAUACAUUACUUCCAGUUCGUUCGACUCAAGGUUAUGAACAGUUUAUAACCAAGAAUGCGCUGAAAGUGAUGCUGGAAGAUUUAGAAGAGUUAGCUUAGUAUGUUGUUGUUGUUAGCGCUUUCACGGAUGCUUCUGCUUCGCCUGACCGCUUCAUGGCUCCUGCUGCUCGGCGUGCUGUGGGCCGAGCCCUCGGCUGUGGACGGAGCUGCUGCUGGAGGCGGAGGAAGGGGACAGGCAGCAGGGUUUCACCGCGGGCAGACGGGACAUCCCGGGACAGAGCGACUGCAGCCUCCGCCAGGACCGCAGAGUCUGCUCCGGUUAAGCACAGGAGAGGUUUAAAGUCUCUGAGAAAAACACUUGAAACCUCCUCCUCUGAAACUCAAGCAGCAAAACGACUGUUCCUCAGAGAACGGCGGAGCUCUGUGACCCACACCCCCCUUGGACACACGCCCCCUCAGGUCAGUGACACACGCCCAAUCAGGUCAGUGACACACGCCCCAUCAGGUCAGUGACACACGCCCCAUCAGGUCAGUGACACACGCCCCCUCAGGUC
rnacentral:lncRNA from 1 species